rnacentral:rRNA from 1 species
GAUUGAACNNUGGCGGCAUGCCUUACACAUGCAANUCGAACGGUAACAGGUCUUCGGACGCUGACGAGUGGCGAACGGGUGAGUAAUACAUCGGAACGUGCCCAGUCGUGGGGGAUAACUACUCGAAAGAGUAGCUAAUACCGCAUACGAUCUGAGGAUGAAAGCGGGGGACCUUCGGGCCUCGCGCGAUUGGAGCGGCCGAUGGCAGAUUAGGUAGUUGGUGGGAUAAAAGNUUUCCAAGCCGACGAUCUGUAGCUGGUCUGAGAGGACGACCAGCCACACUGGGACUGAGACACGGCCCAGACUCCUACGGGAGGCAGCAGUGGGGAAUUUUGGACAAUGGGCGAAAGCCUGAUCCAGCAAUGCCGCGUGCAGGAUGAAGGCCUUCGGGUUGUAAACUGCUUUUGUACCGAACGAAAAAGCUUCUCCUAAUACGAGAGGCCCAUGACGGUA